UCAUCGCCAGAUGGGUGCUCCCACCGGUGGUCUUCAAUGAGCAUGUCAGUUCCUCCAUGGAGAUCGGCGGCGCCACGACCCUACCGACUGCCGUGACCGGGACUCCUCGCCGCUUGUGGAGCAAAGCCACGACGACCCUCCCAAUUUGUUUAUUCCAUCACUUGCGAAGGCAAUAAAGCCAGGCUUUAGAUAGGCUGAGAAAUACAGUGACAACCUUGUAACUUGUACAGAGUUUAUCUGAGCUUCACGUUGGUCACGAGAAGUAGGCUGGAUCUAACAAAUUUGACAUGGUAAGGAGCAUCUACCUACUGCAGUACAUCCGACUACGUCUGGAGGGGUUGUGGCCCGGCAGAGGACGCCGGAGGUGGGGCGGCGGCGCCGUGGUUACCGCUGGGUAAUCCCAACAUCCCCGCUUCUCCUCUUCUGACAUCGACGUCGCAGCCAACCUCAAGGCUCGAGGAGCACCAGCAAAACGGCAUUCACUGGCUCAUUUGUGCUACCACCUUUGGCGCUAACGUCCUGAACCACAUUAUUUCAAGGUGCACUUGUUGUUAUCAAAUACAGUGUUCACAUGAAGAUGCACUUCAGUUUGGCUGCAGAUUGCUUCACAUACUUGAUGUAAGAUAUCAUAGCAGAGUGUAUCUCACAUUUUCAUGUCUUAAAAGGUAUAUUUGAAGUUAACUGCACAGUGGUUUGGUUCCUUAUGUUCUUAAACUGAGACGAAACUUCCCAUCCUCUGAAAUUGUUGGUUUUGAGUUGCGAGGACAUGCACUGUACCAAGGUUCAGGAAAGCGGAAAUAGGCGUCGCUUAUGCGUGCUGAAGCGCAAUGCGGAGGCCUUCCGCAUCAACUGCAUAAGCUCUUAAGCGGAAAAAAGCAGAAAAAGAGGAAAAAAGUGUCGCUUAUGCGCGCUGAAGCGCUAAGCGGAAGGCCACCACACCAAUUACGCUUAACGCUUUCUUGAACCUUGCACUGUACAAUUUAUGGCUUUUAAACCAUGCAACUAUAAUUGAAUUGAUGGAGUUCUGAAGAUUUGUGCCCUAAGAUCAUUAAAUUGCAUUGCUUCAGUCUCAUCUCAUUUCCAUGACUUGUAUUUUCUUCCGGAUCAUCCCUGCAAAGGUAGAGCAGAGUGCAUCUUACAUUUCCAUGUCUUAAAAGGUAUAUUUGAAGUUAACUGCAUAGUGGUUUGGUUCCUUAUGUUCUUCAAGCUUCAGUCACUCGCUACUUCUCUCCCAGGUAGAAGAUUGUUAGAGUUCACUUUAUUAAUUGGAACCAACAGUUACAUUUGUGGAUAUAAGCAUGUUCUGUACUUACUAUCAGCUUACUUACUGUCAGCUUACUUGCUUAUCUUUGUGGAUAUAAGCAUGUUCUUCUUCAUCUAACAAAUUUUUAACCUCACAGUCUGUAGGUAGGAAAGCUCGUAAUAGAAGAAUAACAGCAGAAUGAAGGAUGCAUGAGGACCCUACCUGUCAUCUUACAUUUUGAAUUUUUUUAUUGCAUUAAUAGAUAAAUUCAUGUUUAUCCUCACAUGGAGCAGGUUCAUUUUUCUUUGCUAGGUUAAGUCUCAGAAAUACUUGAUAAACUAUUUACCGUGGCAUCUUUUCAAAUAGAAUCUCUAUUAUGCCAAGAAGAUAUUUCAUGAUGUUGACCUCUAGAACUUGAUACCAAAUUUCCUAUUUUAUUUUUUGCAUAUAUUCUGUAACAGAAAUGUGCUCUUUUGAAUAAUCAUUAAGCGAAACAACAUUUUGAUGGCCUCCACGAAACUGCUUUUUAGAAAAUUAGGGGCAAAUAGAUGGAAGGCAGCUAUACUGUUGGAAUCCCCCUUUAUGAUUUACUGACUUGUUUUGUCUUCGUGAUUUACUGAUUUCUUUUGUGCAAGUUUAGAAGAUAAAUUUAUUGUUUGCAUGGCUAACUCUAGAUUUAUUUGGCCAUAGCAACACACGGAUGUACUACCACUUUCUCGCCGAAUUUGACACGGACAAGGUUAUAUUUUUUUGUCGCAGCAAAAGCUUAUAAAGCUCAUAUU